AAAAAAAAAAAAAAGAUGAACCAGUGUGCGAUCCAUCCAAGCGCUUUCUCUUCCCGCGAAGAGAUACGGAGUUCUGUUUCGGUUCCCAUGUCGGAGCGGAGAGAUUCGGUUGUUUGCCCCAAACCGAGACGUCUCGGUCUUUUGAACGCCACCAUCAACGACCAGCCUGUUAGGUCUCUCAGAUGGCAUUUCAGCCACCAAUCAGAGCUCUGUGAUUCAAAAGCAGGAACUGAUCUUUUAGACAUCAUCCUGACAAAGGGUGGUUAUGGUGUUGAACAAUCUUGUACACAGGUAGCCUCGUCGCCCCCUUUUUUUUGUGGGUCACCGCCGAGCAGAGUAUCUAACCCAUUAAUUCAAGACGCUCGAUUUGGGGAUGAGAAACUCUCCCCUAUGUCGCCACUUAUGCCUAUGCCGAUUCCGCCUCCAUCGGGUUUAUCAUCAUCUCCGACUUCCUCUUCAAGGAAAGGAGGCUGCGUCCGAUCAAAUUUUGGAAACAAACCACCAGUGAGGAUUGAGGGAUUUGAUUGCCUCGACAGGGAUCGCAGGAAUUGCAGCAUCCCUGCAUUGGCCUAGAGAAAACCCCAUUUCAAUUAAUACAAAAAGGUACAUAGUUAAAAAGAGGAGCUAAACAAACAAUCGCGUCAACAACUUCGGUAGUGUGAGGAAUUUUGAAACUCUCAUGAGAGGGAAAGGUGGAGAGAAUCUUUUGCUAGUGUAAAUAUGCGUUUAAGGGUUCUUUUGUAUGUAAUGAUGUGUCUCUGUAAGUCAAAUCAGUGUCAACAAAAAUAAUGGAGGGUUACUAGAAUUUUUGUGGUUGAGCUGAGAAAACAUUCUUUCUUGCUUAAUCCUGUUUGGUUAUUAUAAGCAGUGAUGAGAGUCUCAGGUGAGAAUGUGAAAAUUUUCUUUUUGUGUCCCUUUUUUGGGAUCCUGGAGUUUCAAUGAGCGGCUUAAGAAGGGAAAUUUGUACAGAAAUCUUAGUCGGCGUUGAGUGUUUAAUGUAGUAAUUUACAAUGUAAAUAUGUCCGUUUUCUUUAAUCA
rnacentral:misc_RNA from 1 species